AGCCUGAAGCUUUAUUUCAGGUGGGACCUGCCCAGUGCAAUAGAUUGUUAACGGCCGCAGUACCUUGACUGUGCUAAGGUAGCAUAAUAAUUUGGCUUUUAAAUGGAGUCGGGAAUGAAUGGAUUAAUGGGGUCGAACUGUCUCUUUUAAGUUUUGUUGAAUUUAUUUAUUAGGUGAAAAUACCUAAUCUUUAGGAAAAAAGACGAUAAGACCCUGGGAGUUUUUACUAAAAUCUUUAUUGAGAUUAAGUUUUUGUUGGGGCGACAUGGGAGGAAUAUAAACCUUCUCUAAUAUAUGGGCCGACUUAGUAUGGGAAAAUAAACUACCCCAGGGAUAACAGCGUAAUUCUUCUUGAGUUUGCGACCUCGAUGUUGGACUAGGAAUGGAGCUGGCUAGCCGCCUGCUUUUAUUGUUCUGUUCGAACUUUUUACCUCC
rnacentral:rRNA from 1 species